GAAGGUGCAAGGGUCUUGACCCUGCAGGAGAUCUUCCAGACUGAAAUGGCCAUAGAAUCCAUCAGAAAGGCCAUCAAGGAGAAGUCUGCCUUCCUGAAGGUGGCGCAGACCCGGCUGGAUGAGAGAACGAGGAGGCCGAACAUAGAGCUGUGCAGAGAUAUAGCUCAGCUACGCCUUGUUAACGAGGUCUACGAGGUGGACGAAACCAUCCAGACUCUGCAGCAGCGCCUGAGGGAUUCGGAGGACACCCUGCAGUCCUUGGCCCAUACCAAAGCCACCCUGGAGCACGACUUGGCUGUGAAAGCCAACACUCUGUACAUCGACCAGGAAAAAUGCAUGAGCAUGCGCAAUAGCUACCCCAGCACCCUCCGGCUGGUCGGCUUCUGUUAGGGACCCUGCGAAGAGUAGUUUUCAUAUUCCUAAAAAAAUGGUAGAAGGGAACUGUAUCUCAGCACCUGAAUGAGUGUUAAUAUAGUCACUAUUAAAGGGUUGUGUUGACAGAAACACC
rnacentral:lncRNA from 1 species